GUGCUCAAUUCAGUAGCACAUACACUAACAUUGGAACAAUAAAGAGAAGAAUCGCCCCUGACUGAGGAUGACACUCAACUUUGUGAAGCAUUCUAGAUUUUU
ensembl:snRNA U6 U6 spliceosomal RNA